GCCAUAUCCCACUGGUAGAGCGCUCCACUGUAAAUGGAGAGGUCCCGGGUUCGAUACCCGGACCAGGCG
rnacentral:tRNA from 1 species